GACGAACGCUGGCGGCGUGCUUAACACAUGCAAGUCGAACGGUAAGGCUCCAGCUUGCUGGGGUACACGAGUGGCGAACGGGUGAGUAACACGUGGGUGACCUGCCCUGCACUUCGGGAUAAGGCUGGGAAACUGGGUCUAAUACCGGAUAGGACCGCACCGUGAGGGUGUGGUGGAAAGUUUUUUCGGUGUGGGAUGGGCCCGCGGCCUAUCAGCUUGUUGGUGGGGUAAUGGCCUACCAAGGCGGCGACGGGUAGCCGGCCUGAGAGGGUGGACGGCCACAUUGGGACUGAGACACGGCCCAGACUCCUACGGGAGGCAGCAGUGGGGAAUAUUGCACAAUGGGCGGAAGCCUGAUGCAGCGACGCCGCGUGGGGGAUGACGGCCUUCGGGUUGUAAACUCCUUUCACCAUCGACGAAGGGUUUCUGACGGUAGAUGGAGAAGAAGCACCGGCUAACUACGUG
rnacentral:rRNA from 1 species